CUCAGUUCGGAUUGCAGUCUGCAACUCGACUGCAUGAAGCCGGAAUCGCUAGUAAUCGCGGAUCAGAAUGCCGCGGUGAAUACGUUCCCGGGUCUUGUACACACCGCCCGUCACACCAUGGGAGUCGGAAAUGCCCGAAGCCGGUGGCCUAACCGAUAAGGGAGGAGCCGUCGAAGGCAGGUCUGAUGACUGGGGUGAAGUCGUAACAAGGUACC
rnacentral:rRNA from 1 species